rnacentral:rRNA from 1 species
UACGGAGGGUGCGAGCGUUGUCCGGAAUCACUGGGCGUAAAGGGCGCGUAGGUGGCGCGGAAAGUCAACGGUGAAAGCUUGGGGCUCAACCCCGAGUCGGCCGUCGAUACCUCUGGGCUUGAGCACUGUAGAGGCAGAUGGAAUUCCGGGUGUAGCGGUGGAAUGCGUAGAGAUCCGGAAGAACACCGGUGGCGAAGGCGGUCUGCUGGGCAGUAGCUGACACUGAUGCGCGACAGCGUGGGGAGCAAACAGG